UUGGUGUUACUGCGAAGGGGGGACGGAGAAGGCUAUGUUGGCCGGGCGACGGUUGUCCCGGUUUAAGCGUGUAGGCUGGUUUUCCAGGCAAAUCCGGAAAAUCAAGGCUGAGGCGUGAUGACGAGGCACUACGGUGCUGAAGCAACAAAUGCCCUGCUUCCAGGAAAAGCCUCUAAGCAUCAGGUAACAUCAAAUCGUACCCCAAACCGACACAGGUGGUCAGGUAGAGAAUACCAAGGCGCUUGAGAGAACUCGGGUGAAGGAACUAGGCAAAAUGGUGCCGUAACUUCGGGAGAAGGCACGCUGAUAUGUAGGUGAAGCGACUUGCUCGUGGAGCUGAAAUCAGUCGAAGAUACCAGCUGGCUGCAACUGUUUAUUAAAAACACAGCACUGUGCAAACACGAAAGUGGACGUAUACGGUGUGACGCCUGCCCGGUGCCGGAAGGUUAAUUGAUGGGGUUAGCCGCAAGGCGAAGCUCUUGAUCGAAGCCCCGGUAAACGGCGGCCGUAACUAUAACGGUCCUAAGGUAGCGAAAUUCCUUGUCGGGUAAGUUCCGACCUGCACGAAUGGCGUAAUGAUGGCCAGGCUGUCUCCACCCGAGACUCAGUGAAAUUGAACUCGCUGUGAAGAUGCAGUGUACCCGCGGCAAGACGGAAAGACCCCGUGAACCUUUACUAUAGCUUGACACUGAACAUUGAGCCUUGAUGUGUAGGAUAGGUGGGAGGCUUAGAAGUGUGGACGCCAGUCUGCAUGGAGCCGACCUUGAAAUACCACCCUUUAAUGUUUGAUGUUCUAACGUUGACCCGUAAUCCGGGUUGCGGACAGUGUCUGGUGGGUAGUUUGACUGGGGCGGUCUCCUCCUAAAGAGUAACGGAGGAGCACGAAGGUUGGCUAAUCCUGGUCGGACAUCAGGAGGUUAGUGCAAUGGCAUAAGCCAGCUUGACUGCGAGCGUGACGGCGCGAGCAGGUGCGAAAGCAGGUCAUAGUGAUCCGGUGGUUCUGAAUGGAAGGGCCAUCGCUCAACGGAUAAAAGGUACUCCGGGGAUAACAGGCUGAUACCGCCCAAGAGUUCAUAUCGACGGCGGUGUUUGGCACCUCGAUGUCGGCUCAUCACAUCCUGGGGCUGAAGUAGGUCCCAAGGGUAUGGCUGUUCGCCAUUUAAAGUGGUACGCGAGCUGGGUUUAGAACGUCGUGAGACAGUUCGGUCCCUAUCUGCCGUGGGCGCUGGAGAACUGAGGGGGGCUGCUCCUAGUACGAGAGGACCGGAGUGGACGCAUCACUGGUGUUCGGGUUGUCAUGCCAAUGGCACUGCCCGGUAGCUAAAUGCGGAAGAGAUAAGUGCUGAAAGCAUCUAAGCACGAAACUUGCC
rnacentral:rRNA from 1 species